UCUUGGAAUUGAUAUGAUUGG
rnacentral:piRNA from 1 species